rnacentral:rRNA from 1 species
UACCAGCACCCCGAGUGGUCGGGACGUUUAUUGGGCCUAAAGCAUCCGUAGCCGGUUCUACAAGUCUUCCGUUAAAUCCAACUGCUUAACAGGUGGGCUGCGGAAGAUACUAUAGAGCUAGGAGGCGGGAGAGGCAAGCGGUACUCGAUGGGUAGGGGUAAAAUCCGUUGAUCCAUUGAAGACCACCAGUGGCGAAGGCGGUUGCCUGGAGCUUUGCUGACGCUGAGGCGCGAAAGCGUGGGGAGCAAACGGG